AUUCGUGUGAAGUGGGGUUCCUUCACGCGGAAAACGCGGAAUUUUUGGGUGAAAGGUGGUAUGUUCAGGGAGAAAAUGUGCGAUUUUCCUUUGAAACGUAGAAUUUUCGUGAAAAAAAUGCGUGGUUCUUGGGAGAAAUGGGGUUGCUUCGCGCAGAAAAUGCGUGAUUUUCGGGGGAAAGGUGGUAUUUUCGGGGAGAAAAUGAGUGAUUUUCCUUUGAAAGGUGGUAUUUUCGGAAAAAAAAUGCGUGGUUCUUGGGAGAAAUGGGGUUGCUUCGCGCAGAAAAUGCGUGAUUUUGGGGGGAAAGGUGGUAUUUUCGGGGAGAAAAUGAGUGAUUUUCCUUUGAAAGGUGGUAUUUUCGGGAAGAAAAUGUGUGAUUUUUGGGUGAAACGUGGUGUAUUUGCGGUAGAAAGGUGUUAUUUUCCGGCGAGAAGUGGUAUUUUCGGGAAGAAAAUGUGGGAAUUUUCAAGGGAAAAGUGGUAUUUUUCGUGUGGCAAUGCGUGCUUUUCGAGAGAAAGGUGGUAUUUUUGGAGAGAAAAUGCGUGAUUUUGGGGUGAAAGGUGGAAUUUUCGUGGAGAAAACGCGUGAUUUCUUUUUAAAAAGUUGCAUUUUUGGGAAAAAAAGCGUGAUUUUGUGUUGAAAUGCGGUAUUUUUGAAGUGAACCUACGUGAUUCUCGUGCGAAAAAUGGUAUUUUUAUGGUAAAAAUGGGUGUUUUGGGGGUAAAAUUUUCUAAGAGAAAAUGCUUGCUUUUUGGGCGAAAAGUGACGUUUUUGAGGUGUAAAUGCGUGAUUUCCGGGCAAAAUAUUGGUAUUUUUGGGUAGAAAAUGCGUGAUUUUCAGGCAAAAGCGUUUUUUUCGAAGAGAAUUCUCGCGGGGGGAGCACCGCGUAUGCGUGGAUUUGCGAUCGCACUGCGCAUGCGCGGACCUGCGCUCAGGGUAUUUUCGAGGAGACAGUGCGAGAUUUUCUGGGGAAAUGGGGUAUUUUCGAAGUGAACAUGCGUGAUUCUCAGG
ensembl:lncRNA